rnacentral:piRNA from 1 species
UGACUGUUGGGAGCGACGGCUACUUUUGA